rnacentral:rRNA from 1 species
AUUGAACGCUGGCGGUAUGCUUUACACAUGCAAGUCGAACGGCAGCACGGGGCAACCUGGUGGCGAGUGGCGAACGGGUGAGUAACAUAUCGGAACAUGUCCGGAAGUGGGGGAUAACGUACCGAAAGGUACGCUAAUACCGCAUAUGCCCUGAGGGGGAAAGGGGGGGAUCGCCAGACCUCUCGCUUUCGGAGUGGCCGAAAUCGGAUUAGCUAGUAGUAGAGGUAAAGGCUCACCUAGGCGAUGAUCCGUAGCUGGUCUGAGCGGACGACCAGCCAUACUGGAACUGAGACACGGUCCAGAUUCCUACGGGAGGCGGCAGUGGGGAAUGUUGGACAAUGGGCGCAAGCCUGAUCCAGCCAUACCGCGUGAGUGAAGAAGGCCUUCGGGUUGUAAAGCUCUUUCAGCCGUGAAGAAAUCGCACUGGUUAAUACCUUGUGUGGAUGACGGUACCGGAAGAAGAAGCACCGGCUAACUACGUGCCAGCAGCCGCCGUAA